UGAAAGGGAAACAGGUUAAUAUUCCUGUACUAUAUCAAGGAGGUAAAGUGGUAACACAACUGAACUCAAAUACAUCAGUAGAAUAACCAGGAAGAGUUCUCUUUUCUUUUUAACGACUUCUCCGCAAGGGGUGUAUAAUGACCAUGGAAUCAAUUUAGUUGGAGAAAUGGUUAAAGAGUCGGUAGAGUAAAUCAAUUUCUGAUUUAUCUGGUUAGGUUCUAAUGGUACAUAAAAAUUUGAGGGAAUGAUCUUGCUUGAAUAGUCGUACUCAUAACCGCAGCAGGUCUCCAAGGUUAGAAGCCUCUAGUUGGCAGAAUAAUGUAGUAAGGGAAGUCGGCAAAAUAGAUCUGUAACUUCGGGAAAAAGAUGGCUCUAAAGGCUGAGUAUAUGGGCUAUAUCAGUAAGUUGUUGG
rnacentral:rRNA from 1 species